rnacentral:tRNA from 1 species
GCAUUAGUAGCUCAGUAUUUAGAGCGUCG